CCCCAACCCCGGUGUUGUUGUUUUUUGCCAUCUCCUCCGCCUCUGGUCUGCUCUGGCUGAUCAUAAACAGAAAAUCGGGGCGGGGGGGGGGGAGCUGCCAUCUCCAGCCCUCCCCCCCCACCCCGAGGGAGGGGUUGCAAGCCGGCCACCGCCUCGCCUGCCCCACAUUUCUUUGGGGGAGGGGGUGGGGAGACUGGUGGCCCCCGGAGCGUUUUGGUGGCCCAGGCGGGUUGCAGCGCCUAGGAAGGAAGGAGGGAGGGGUGUCUGUUCCGCUCUGCAUGCUUACUCGGAAGUAAGCCGGCCUUAAACUCCCAGGGAGGAAAGCAAACGCAGCAUCGGCGGCCCGAGCCUAGGCAUGUUUACUCAGGUGUAAGCUUCCGCCAUGUAACCCCCCAAACCCUCCUCCGCAGGUAAGACAACCGGGGACGGGGGGGGGGGUAGGUGGGAUGGAAACCACGCAGCAGCUCUGCAGCGACGGGGGCUUACUCGAGAGUAAGGCAGCGCGCUGCUGCUGCUUGCCCAGGCUUGGGAGCAAAGCGACCGGGGGGGGGGGGCAAGGGCGCUCGGUAUGGAGGUGCAGCUUACUUCCGAGUGAAGGUGCGUGGAUCGGGGCCGCAGAGGACCUCAGCUUAGAGGCUUUAUUUGGGGGUUCGUGGGGGGAGCGCACCAGAUCUAUCCUUUCUGGGAGUUCCUGUGGGGCAGAGCCAGGGAAAGCUGCACCCCCCCCCAGACAUUGGGGCGGCCGGGGGUCUCGGAGCCUGAUCCCAAACCCACAGCAGCGCCCCUCCCGUUUUGCCACGGUGGUUCCCCCCCCCUUGCAAUCCGAAUUAAAGCCUUGGGGAGGGGUCGUCCCUCCGCCCCGGAGUUGCUCAGCCCUCCAUCCUAGGUCCCAACUACACUUUUCAGGGACUUCGGAUUUAUCCUCACCCCCGAGAGAGACGGGAGAACCCUGAACACUGGGCUUCUCUAGCUUGAUCCGCUUUCACGCCGCUUGGUUGUGUCUACACGAUCUCUCCGGCCAACAAACAUCCCAGGCCUGGUCUUGGGAGCGCGGUGCUGGCGAGGAUAUUUGCAGUUUAGGUCUGGAAACUUGGCUGCGAGCCUGUGCCCUUUGGCGUGGGAGUAAUGGCCGGUGGACUUUGGGUCUCACUUCGGAGUAAACGGAGCCGGCUGUCCGGAGUCCAGUUUGGACUCUUCCUCCCCGCCCCCCGCCCCAACAACCUCAUUUCGCUUUGCAAAGCAGUUGAACCAGGGCGACCGGAGGGACAAACUGGUCGCCUUUAUAAACCGAAUUGGCAGGUAAUGUUUCAGAUUUAGACAUACUUUUUAAAUGUAUGUAUAUAUACAUAAACGAAAAGCAAAAAAUAUCCUAGUUCCUGUUUUCGAGCUUGUUUUGAGUCAAUAUGGUGAUUUAGCUGUGAUAACUGCAUUGCUAGGGAGAUUGAGCUAGUUGAUCCCUGGAGAUCCCUGUGAACCGGUACAAUUCUAGAAUAUUUUUUUGCUGUAGCGGAUUAAACUCGCCCACGCCGCAAACCUACCCGAAGGAAAGAGAUCUGGAAGCUGCAUUUGCUUGGACCGGAUAUUUAUUUUGCUUGUGUGAAUUAAGAGUGUAUUUGCAAUAAUAAUAAUAAACCAUUAAACAAAACAAAAA
rnacentral:lncRNA from 1 species